GAUGAACGCUGGCGGCGUGCCUAACACAUGCAAGUCGAGCGAUUCUCUUCGGAGAAGAGCGGCGGACGGGUGAGUAACGCGUGGGUAACCUGCCCUGUACACACGGAUAACGUACCGAAAGGUAUGCUAAUACGAGAUAAUAUACUUUUAUCGCAUGGUAGAAGUAUCAAAGCUCCGGCGGUACAGGAUGGACCCGCGUCUGAUUAGCUAGUUGGUGAGGUAACGGCUCACCAAGGCGACGAUCAGUAGCCGACCUGAGAGGGUGAUCGGCCACAUUGGAACUGAGACACGGUCCAAACUCCUACGGGAGGCAGCAGUGGGGAAUAUUGCACAAUGGGCGAAAGCCUGAUGCAGCAACGCCGCGUGAGCGAUGAAGGCCUUCGGGUCGUAAAGCUCUGUCCUCAAGGAAGAUAAUGACGGUACUUGAGGAGGAAGCCCCGGCUAACUACGUGCCAGCCGCCGCUGUAA
rnacentral:rRNA from 1 species